UACGUAGGGUCCGAGCGUUGUCCGGAAUUACUGGGCGUAAAGAGCUUGUAGGCGGUUUGUCGCGUCUGCUGUGAAAAUCCGGGGCUCAACCCCGGACUUGCAGUGGGUACGGGCAGACUAGAGUGUGGUAGGGGAGACUGGAAUUCCUGGUGUAGCGGUGGAAUGCGCAGAUAUCAGGAGGAACACCGAUGGCGAAGGCAGGUCUCUGGGCCACUACUGACGCUGAGAAGCGAAAGCAUGGGGAGCGAACAGG
rnacentral:rRNA from 1 species